UCAUCUCACAUGUUAAAUUAUUGUCUAUCCACUUGGCUGAUAUACUUAUCAGCGCGGAGAGUGAAACUCCCUCUCGUCGCGGUUCUAACAGGUUCGCGCGGCAGCGUCCGGCAAACUUACUUUUCUCACUUUUAGAAUUUGUAGUGAAUUGCGAGAUGCCAAAUGGUCUACCGAACGCGAAAACUCCGAAUCCAAGAACAAAGAAUACUGAAUCCAAGAACAAAGAAAAAAGAGAAACACACCGUCGCUGGAUCGCUAGAUUAUUCGCAGUUUCUGGUGGAGUUACAAUUGGUAACGAUUGCUCAACUAUUGCGCGCUAAAUGUCAGGGACAUCCAAAUCGGAAUAUUUGAAUACGACGAUAUCCUUGAUUUAAGAACAUUAUUGGAGGAUUUUACUAUGACGUUGAUAUUUUUACGAUCCUAGGUAAAGAUCUUGAAAUCUCUCUUGCAUACGCUCUCGCGCGUGUAUGUGCCUAUUUGUUACGUGUGAUUCGAUGUACAAUGAAAAUCAACAAUAACGCGCGCUCAGGAACGAAGAAUGUGAGAGAAAAAGGGAGAGAAAAAAAGAAGUCGAGAUCAAGGAAUCUCGAUCGUUACAUGACAAUAUAGCCGUUCGGCACAUGAAAAAAAAGCCACGAUGAUUCUCAUACACGUGAUCGGCAACGCGGGAACCGCGCGACAAGAGAAACACUUCCUAUCCGUUUUUCGUUGUUUCGCGUUACAUCACGUGAGAAGUAGAGAAAAGAAACAAUAUUCGAAGUUUUCUACGAAUUACAAGACGAAAAUCAGAUCGAUAUCAUCGUCGUCGUCCUCGUCUGAAUUUAAAAAGAAAAAAUCCUUGCUUAUUUGCCGAGUAAAAACGAUGCGUGCGUAUAGCAGUUAACGUUGUUAGUACUUAUCAGUAUAUAGUACUUAAUUUCAUACCAAUAACAGGUAUUCAUUGAUAUAUGUAUUAUCUGGAUGCUUAAAAGAUAUUCUAAAUCAAAUAACAAUAAUUUAGUUCAACUAUCUAUUCAGUUAAGGACUAACAAGAAGAAAAACUUGAAAAAUGUUAAUAUAAUAGCGAAGGGUGAAACAUAUAAUAUACAAUCGGAAAGGUUGUCUUUUUGUGACUUUCAGAACGCAUCCGUCUUGCCCAAUGGAAAAAUUUUUUCAUUGACUAACAAAUUCUUCUAUUGGACAAAACGUUCCGAAAGUCACAGAAAAAAAUUGGACAACUUUACUGACGCCGAGUGCACAAUUUGAAAUUAAGAGCCCGUGAAAGCUGCGACUAGGAAACUCUAACGACACAAACACACACUAAUAUAAGUCACAUUAUUUCUAUAUCCUUUCCAUUAUUCGACGUUUUGUCCCAGGUGCGAUCCAGCCACCUCAGGUAUCCAUCCAGAUAAUAAACAUAACAUCCUAAAUUGCAUCACAGCCUGUCGAGAUAACGUUAAUAUUGCAAUACGCGCGCUUUUUAUUCGCUCGGAGGACGAUGGACGGCCGACUCGCGACGCGUUUCACGCUCAAAUUCGUUGAUCCCAAGAGAAAACGGAAGUGUCCGGGAGAUAGCUAUUUCUCUCUUUCUUUCUCUCCUUUCCUCUAUUUUUCUUCUCGCGAGUAUGACAUCUGUCAAGGUAAAUAGUUUUAACAACGGCGCAAGUCGGGUCGAGUUAGGUACGUCAGAAAUUAAGAUGCGCGAGAGAAAACGGACAUUUUCCCGCGCGCAGUCGACUGCAUCGUAUCGCGGCGACGUUGACGUCACAAUGAUGAUCCAUAUUUUUUCUCACAUUCUUUCUUUCGACUAUUUUUUUCCCCCGUUAAUAGUACGUAUAUAACUAUCGAUCUUAUUACUGUAUAACAAGAGCAUCCUUAGGAUCGUGCGACACUACCGUCGUAUUAAAAUAGAUUUAAAUCGCACUUUGUACAUCGUCAACAAGUUUGUCCAUGAACACAACUUCACAUUCCAUCUCUAACUAACGUCACCACGCCGAUAACACGCUUUACUAACGGCAGAUUAUGUCGAUUCAACACUGUAAUUAUUCAAUGUGCGACGGAUCCCACCAUGUGCACUGUCGAAAGGGUUCUUUCUCCAAGCGAAUUCUCACACACACGGUAGUACGCUCACUUAGUCUCUCGCAUUCUUCAAUACACACACGCUCUCUUCACUGUCAUUCCCUCUCUCUCUCUCUUUCACACAUCGAAGUACGCCAUAUCGUUAUCUUACAAUUUCGUUCACUAACGGAGCAAUCAGCAAAAAUUUAACUAUUUAGUAACUAGUAAAAUAAGUCUUUGGUGUUUGUA